UACGUAGGGGGCAAGCGUUGUUCGGAUUCACUGGGCGUAAAGGGUGCGUAGGUGGUGAGGUAAGUCGGAUGUGAAAUCUCCGAGCUCAACUCGGAAAUGGCAUUGGAAACUACCUUGCUCGAGGGUUGGAGGGGGGACUGGAAUGCUUGGUGUAGCAGUGAAAUGCGUAGAUAUCAAGCGGAACACCAGUGGCGAAGGCGAGUCCCUGGACAACUCCUGACACUGAGGCACGAAAGCUAGGGGAGCAAACAGG
rnacentral:rRNA from 1 species